UGAACGGCCACAUUGGGACUGAGACACGGCCCAAACUCCUACGGGAGGCAGCAGUGGGGAAUAUUGGACAAUGGGGGCAACCCUGAUCCAGCAAUUCUGUGUGCACGAAGAAGGUUUUCGGAUUGUAAAGUGCUUUCAGCAGGGAAGAAGAAAGUGACGGUACCUGCAGAAGAAGCGACGGCUAAAUACGUGCCAGCAGCCGCGGUAAUACGUAUGUCGCAAGCGUUAUCCGGAAUUAUUGGGCAUAAAGGGCAUCUAGGCGGCCAGAUAAGUCUGGGGUGAAAACUUGCGGCUCAACCGCAAGCCUGCCCUGGAAACUGUUUGGCUAGAGUGCUGGAGAGGUGGACGGAACUGCACGAGUAGAGGUGAAAUUCGUAGAUAUGUGCAGGAAUGCCGAUGAUGAAGAUAGUUCACUGGACGGUAACUGACGCUGAAGUGCGAAAGCUAGGGGAGCAAACAGGAUUAGAUACCCUGGUAGUCCUAGCUGUAAACGAUGAUUACUGGGUGUGGGCAUGAAGAGUGUCCGUGCCGAAGCUAAUGCGAUAAGUAAUCCGCCUGGGGAGUACGGCCGCAAGGCUGAAACUCAAAGGAAUUGACGGGGACCCGCACAAGCGGUGGAGCAUGUGGUUUAAUUCGACGCAACGCGAGGAACCUUACCAGAUCUUGACAUCCUGCGAAGGCCUGCGAGAGCAGGCUGUGCCUUCGGGAACGCAGAGACAGGUGGUGCAUGGCUGUCGACAGCUCGUGUCGUGAGAUGUUGGGUUAAGUCCCGCAACGAGCGCAACCCCUAUCGCUAGUUACCAUCAUUAAGUUGGGGACUCUAGCGAGACUGCCUGCGAAGAGCAGGAGGAAGGUGGGGAUGACGUCAAGUCAUCAUGCCCCUUAUGAUCUGGGCUACACACGUGCUACAAUGGCCGGUACAGAGAGCCGCAAGGCGGCAACGCCAAGCCAAUCUUUAAAGCCGGUCCAAGUUCGGAUUGAAGUCUGCAACUCGACUUCAUGAAGCUGGAAUCGCUAGUAAUCGCGGAUCAGAAUGCCGCGGUGAAUACGUUCUCGGGCCUUGUACACACCGCCCGUCAUACCAUGAGAGCUGGUAAUACCCGAAGCCGGUGGCCUAACCGCAAGGAAGGAGCCGUCGAAGGUAGGACUAGUGAUUGGGGUCAAGUCGUAACAAGGUAUCCCUACGAGAACGUGGGGAUG
rnacentral:rRNA from 1 species